CCUACGGGAGGCAGCAGUGGGGAAUAUUGCACAAUGGGGGAAACCCUGAUGCAGCAACGCCGCGUGAGUGAAGAAGUAUUUCGGUAUGUAAAGCUCUAUCAGCAGGGAAGAAAAAAGACGGUACCUGACUAAGAAGCCCCGGCUAACUACGUGCCAGCAGCCGCGGUAAUACGUAGGGGGCCAGCGUUAUCCGGAGUUACUGGGUGUAAAGGGAGCGUAGACGGCAUAGCAAGUCUGAAGUGAAAGCCCCGGGCUCAACCGCGGAACUGCUUUGGAGACUGUUAAGCUGGAGUACUGGAGAGGCAAGCGGAAUUCCUAGUGUAGCGGUGAAAUGCGUAGAUAUUAGGAGGAACACCAGUGGCGAAGGCGGCUUGCUGGACAGAGACUGACGUUGAGGCUCGAAAGCGUGGGGAGCAAACAGGAUUAGAUACCCUAGUAGUC
rnacentral:rRNA from 1 species